UCAAGAGGUCUUCAGGAAGAGACCAAUGUCCUGGAUGAUCUGGAGGCAAACUGCCUGGUUCAAGUCUUACCAGCUCCUUUACUAACUGUGAGACCUUGGGGGAGCUAAUUAGACUCUCUCUUCCGUGAAAUGAGAUUAAUAAGCCUUGCCUACACCGUAAUAGGACAGUUAAAUGAGAAAAUAGACACAGAACAGGUAGAGCAGUGCCAAGUGCACACAGAAAGCCAGUGUGAGAAUGAAACCAACAGAGAAAAAAGCAAGCCAAGGGCAUAAACUAGUAUGAGUCACGUUUCUGUCAUUUCCCAUGCAUAGGUCCUGACUAAAACACUGGAGCAUCGACCGGGAUUGAAAAAAAAGUGGCAAAUGAGGGAUGAGAGGGCAGAUCAUUUUUGCCGUGCUAAACAACCGGCUUUUUCUCCAGAUGGCAGUGGCCAGUCAGAGAAGGAUGUGAAGAAGAAUAUGAAGAAAUAUUAAGAAGGAAAUAAACUAGGACUCUCCUGAACAAAAAGACCCCUGUUGACAUUUUAAAAGCAGAAGUUGUACAUGUACAAAUUAGAAAGUAUAAACGGCACAGAAAGGCACAAGAUGAAAAGAAGAUUUCCCCUGUCCAUCUCUCUCCCCAGAGGGCAGCCUUUCAUCAGCUCCCGGCAUCAGGACCACUUCUCUCUUUAUCAAGCACUCACCCAAGUUCCCCGACCGGGGAUCGAACCCGCGUCUUCUGCAGUGGAAGCACAGAGUCCUAACCACUGGACCACCAGGGAAUUCCUCUUCAGAGAAGUUGUAAUGACACAUAACAAAGGUUUCCAUGUUGUAACUUUGUUUUACCGUGAUGUUGACAGUUUAUUCUCUUCCCAAACUUUUGCCUGGUUUCAUGUUCAGGUAAAAGCUAAGAAGUGUUUGAAAGGAAAUUCAGCCGACAAACUUGUAAAGAUAAUUUUUCAUUCAAUAUGCCAAACAAGACACUACUAUUUAACAGCAAGCCAUACUACAUGCAAUACAUUUUUGAUGGUUUAAAAAGCAACAAAGUGACUUUAGAACAUAAAGGAAUACUUAAAUAUUACUUACAGAAGAAGAAAGAGCUAAAUGUCCUCUUGUAUCUGAAAAAGACUCAAAAUGUUCUAGAUUUUUUUUUCUUUUGGCCCGAUUAGGAAAGAAGAAAUAACUAAUAAACUAUGUAAAUACAUUAGUUAAAAGAAAACAAGAUAAAGAAACAGGAAAUAAAUCUACUAUACUUCAAUUUAAAAAAAUAUAUAAAACUUUUCUUUUAUGCCCACACACAAAAAAGGAAGAGACGGGAAGGAACAGAAUGUCAGAGUCAGCCUGCUAAUUUUGAUGAGGAAGCUCAUUGUAACUACUAACACAAACCGAAAAUCUGCUGUUUACUAAAGUAGGAGGAUGUAUAACAACUGUAGCUUUAAUUCCAUAUAAAUGGAGCUAAAAAUGCACUACAGCUUGUGGUCACUUGCUAGCUACAUGCACGCAGGUAUUUCGGUAUUUGUUUUGCUUUGUUCAUUAAUAAAAAAUCAGCUAAUUCUAAAAAACAAAACAAAACAGGAAAAAAAACUUGCCUUCUUGAUAGCUCCAUCUUCCCAGCUUGUCUUCCUGAAAGCUUAUACUGUGCCCACAACCAGCCAGAAGAACAUCUGGACUCAUUAAACUUGCCCACCCCUCCAGCCCAAGAAGCUGAAGUGCUUGGGACAACAGGUCUCCUCUGGCUGGACCUCGGGGUGAAACACCUUAGAAGGGGAACAGCAUUCCUCCUCAGCUGCUGUCCCCACCCACUCGCCAGCCUUGAGGGAGAGGGGCCGGGGAGGAACAGCUCUUCUUUGAUAAAUGGGGGAGGGGGGCGGGGGGGAGGCCAGAGGACCACAGGGGACAAAGGAGUCGCCUCGGGUUUCCCUUCAGUGAGUGCUUCCUAAAGGGAGAAGCACAGGUCGUCUUGUGCGCGCACAUGAUCCUUGGAGACACAACUCAUCUCCCACAAUGUCACCUGUAAGGACAAGAUAAACAGCCACACCUGGGGCCCAGCUCAGGCCAACCCGGGUUCUAGUUCACGUCACGUCCUAAGGAAGAACGUCUAGAUGCUAAGGAUCGUGCACCUCAAGAGCAGGGCUGGGACAGUGCGGGGAAGAAAGAUUGACGGCAUUUCCAUAUUUUCCCUUUUAUACACAACACUCCCCAAAUAAACAAGUUGCCUUUUCUUCCUAAAUUCUUA